rnacentral:lncRNA from 1 species
UAACCCAUUUGUAUUUAUUUUGUUUGUUAUUUGAUACCUUAAUAAGCAUCCCCAAAUUCAUUGUGCAAAACAGAAGCUAAGAUCAUCACAAAAGGCAACAUCUAGCCAUAUGAUACAUGGGAUCUUUUUUUCUGUAUCCUUGUACCUGACCCUACAUACAAUGAUCACUGUUCUCUCACUUCCUAUUUAAAUAGUUCACUUUCCUGUAUAUUUCUAAGCUUUAUUUUUUUAAUACUGUGGAACAUAAUUAACAAUUCAAUUUUUAAAUAUGUUCUACUUUUUAAAUAAAGUGCAUAU